AUAAUGCAAGUCGAGCGACAGACGAGGAGCUUGCUCCUCUGACGUUAGCGGCGGACGGGUGAGUAACACGUGGAUAACCUACCUAUAAGACUGGGAUAACUUCGGGAAACCGGAGCUAAUACCGGAUAAUAUAUUGAACCGCAUGGUUCAAUAGUGAAAGACGGUUUUGCUGUCACUUAUAGAUGGAUCCGCGCCGCAUUAGCUAGUUGGUAAGGUAACGGCUUACCAAGGCAACGAUGCGUAGCCGACCUGAGAGGGUGAUCGGCCACACUGGAACUGAGACACGGUCCAGACUCCUACGGGAGGCAGCAGUAGGGAAUCUUCCGCAAUGGGCGAAAGCCUGACGGAGCAACGCCGCGUGAGUGAUGAAGGUCUUCGGAUCGUAAAACUCUGUUAUUAGGGAAGAACAAAUGUGUAAGUAACUAUGCACGUCUUGACGGUACCUAAUCAGAAAGCCACGGCUAACUACGUGCCAGCAGCCGCGGUAAUACGUAGGUGGCAAGCGUUAUCCGGAAUUAUUGGGCGUAAAGCGCGCGUAGGCGGUUUUUUAAGUCUGAUGUGAAAGCCCACGGCUCAACCGUGGAGGGUCAUUGGAAACUGGAAAACUUGAGUGCAGAAGAGGAAAGUGGAAUUCCAUGUGUAGCGGUGAAAUGCGCAGAGAUAUGGAGGAACACCAGUGGCGAAGGCGACUUUCUGGUCUGUAACUGACGCUGAUGUGCGAAAGCGUGGGGAUCAAACAGGAUUAGAUACCCUGGUAGUCCACGCCGUAAACGAUGAGUGCUAAGUGUUAGGGGGUUUCCGCCCCUUAGUGCUGCAGCUAACGCAUUAAGCACUCCGCCUGGGGAGUACGACCGCAAGGUUGAAACUCAAAGGAAUUGACGGGGACCCGCACAAGCGGUGGAGCAUGUGGUUUAAUUCGAAGCAACGCGAAGAACCUUACCAAAUCUUGACAUCCUCUGACCCCUCUAGAGAUAGAGUUUUCCCCUUCGGGGGACAGAGUGACAGGUGGUGCAUGGUUGUCGUCAGCUCGUGUCGUGAGAUGUUGGGUUAAGUCCCGCAACGAGCGCAACCCUUAAGCUUAGUUGCCAUCAUUAAGUUGGGCACUCUAAGUUGACUGCCGGUGACAAACCGGAGGAAGGUGGGGAUGACGUCAAAUCAUCAUGCCCCUUAUGAUUUGGGCUACACACGUGCUACAAUGGACAAUACAAAGGGUAGCGAAACCGCGAGGUCAAGCAAAUCCCAUAAAGUUGUUCUCAGUUCGGAUUGUAGUCUGCAACUCGACUAUAUGAAGCUGGAAUCGCUAGUAAUCGUAGAUCAGCAUGCUACGGUGAAUACGU
rnacentral:rRNA from 1 species